UGCAGAUGACGAGGAUUAAAUGGAAUCAAUGGAAUCAAAUACAAUGGAUGGCAGAGUGACUGACAGUGUGGGGAGAAAUAAAUAUCCAUUCUUCCUCCGGCACUGAACUCGGACAUUUCAAAAGUUUUACAGAAAUGACCAUCAGGCCCGAAGACCAGAAUCACUCUUCAGUGUGCGUGGCUCACGCUCCCUUUACUGGAGGGAGGUUUUCCCUGCAGCAGUAAUCUCGUUGGUCGCGGCGGUGGAGAGUCUCAGAUUGUCAGAGCAGCGAGCCUGAGGAGCUGGGACUAGAAGUCGCGGGCCCUCCCCUCUCCCUGGCGUCCGGCCCGGGCUGCGGCGGGACGCGGCUCCGCCUCCCCGGCCGCCCCGCCGACCCGAGCGCGGCGCGCAGUGGGAGCUGGGGCCCGGGGCGCCGAGGGGAGGCCGCGCUCCCACCGCCCGCGGCCCGAGGGGGCGUCGGACACUACCGGCCGCCCGCGGAGAUGUGACCCGGCCCCGCCGCCCAUGUGCGCCCCCCGACCCCCAGCGAAGACGGCUGCCAUAGGGGCCCCGGCACCCGGCCUCCCGGCCCUGCCGCUGCUGCUGCUGCUGGUGGCCGCGCCAACGGGACGGGCAGUUUCCUGUGUCUCUGGUGGUCUGCCUAAACCUACAAAUAUAACCUUCUUAUCUAUAAACAUGAAGAAUAUCCUACAGUGGAACCCACCACAGGGCCUACAAGGAGUGGAAGUUACUUAUUCUGUGCAGUAUUUCAUAUAUGGGCAAAAGAAAUGGCUGAAUAAAUCCGAAUGCAGAAAUAUCAGUAGGACCUACUGUGAUCUCUCUGCUGAAACUUCUGACUACGAACGUCAAUAUUAUGCCAAAGCUAAGGCCAUCUGGGGAACGAAUUGUUCUAAAUGGGCAGAAACUGGACGAUUCUAUCCUCUUUUAGAAACACAAAUUGGCCCACCAGAGGUUGCUUUGACUACUGAUGAGAAAUCCAUAUCUAUUGUUCUGACGGCUCCAAAGAAGUGGAAGAAAAACCCAGAAGAAAGCUCUAUUUCCCUGGAACAAAUAUACUCUAAUCUGAAGUAUAAUGUGUCCAUACAUAAUACUAAAUCAAAUAGAACGUGGUCCCAGUGUGUGACAAACCGAACGCUGGUAUUCGGCUGGCUGGAGCCGGACACUCUGUACUGCGUCCUCGUGGAGUCCUUCGUCCCAGGCCCUCCUCGCCUUGUUCAGCCGUCUGAGAAGAAGUGUGUCAGUACUUUGAAAGAUCAAACAUCAACACUGAAGGUUAAAGUCAUCUUCUGCUAUGUUUUGCCCAUAUCUGUUACUGUGUUUAUUUUUUCUGUGAUGUGCUACUCCAUGUACAGAUAUACCUACGUCGGCAAAGAGAAACACCCAGCAAAUCUGAUUUUGAUUUAUGGAAAUGAAUUUGACAAAAGAGUCUUUGUACCUGCUGAAAAAGUUGUGAUUAACUUUAUCACCCUCAAUAUUUUGGAGGAUUCUAAAACUGCUCAUAAGGAUAUAAGUGUAAUGGAAAAAAGCAAUGAUGCCUCAGACCUGAAUGAGCCCAGCAAGGACCAGGAGCCCCAUCAGGAGGAAGUGGAGGUGAAACACCUGGGAUAUGCUUCACAUGUGGUGGACAUUGUGUAUGACCCUGAGAAAAGCACCCAAGGGACUUCCUUAAGCCAGCAAGAGCCACCCAGCAGGACAAUGCCCACAGAUAAAACAGUCAUCGAAUAUGAAUGUGAUGUAAGAACUAGUGACAUUUCUGUGGGGCCUGGAGACCAGGAGUUCAAUUUGCAGGAGGAAGUGUCCCUACAAGGAAAGUUAUCUGAGCAACAGGCAACUUUAGCAGACUUGGGUCCACAAACACUACCAUAUUCAUGUACCCCUCAGCUCAGAGACUUGGACCACCUGCCGCAGGGGCAUGUGGACACAGAGGAGGGGCCAGAGGCAGAACCGUCAACCACACUGGUCGAUUGGGACCCUCGGACUGGCAGGCUGUGUAUACCUUCAUUAUCCAGCUUUGAACAUGACUCAGAGAGAUGUAAGCAUCCUGAGUCUGAGGGACUCGAGGAGGAGGGCCUCUUAUCUAGACUCUACCAGGAUCGGGCUCCAGACAAGACACUGGAGGAACAUGAAGCCUAUCUCAUGCAGUUUAUGGAGGAAUGGGGAUUAUAUGUACAAAUGGAAGAAUAACACUCAAACGUCCCUUUGCCAGACCUCUACUGUUACAAAACACUGCUUGUUUCAUUCCGCCUCCUGUGGGUGCUGGGUUGUGCAUGCGGGUCUCCCGCACUGAUGGUGGGCACCCAGAGUGCAGUGGCUGACCCUCUUUGUACCCAGAAUGCACACAUGAGGCUGGAGGUAGAAGAGCCGUCUUGCAAGCAUGAAGCAAAAAGCAAGAAGGUUGAGCUGGAACACUGUUCACUGAUACCAUCAGGAAGCAGCUACACCAAUCCCAGACUGCCAACUUCUGCACUUCUUAUUUUAUUAGAAACACAAAUUCUUUUGGUUGGGUGCUGAAUCCAGUUUUUAUUAUAUGCAGCCAAAUGAAAUCUUAACUGAGAUACCCCUUUGCUUACGUUACCUUGGGUGGGUUUUUGUUUCUUGCAACUUGCUGUCUUUGCACCAUCCAUACCCUAUGGAUCCUUUUCCUGCACAAGGGCCUUCCCUCAAGGUGCUUUCACUCCUACCAACCAGUACCUGCAGCUCUUUGUUAGAGGACUACUCUCAGGCUGCCCAGCCUGUUGGUCUUAAGAGCUAUAACUACCCAGGAAUUUACAUCCCCUGGGAGCUAUUUGUAACCCUUGCCUUACUCUGGAUGGUUUUACUUACUGCAGGAUUGAGUAAGAGUUAUGCCCUGUGAGAUAUUGAUCUGACACUCUUGCACAAUCCCACUCCCCUACCAGUUUCUCCUAGGGACAUUUCCUAAUGAACUACUUUCCCAUGAAUCCUUAUCUCAGGGUCCACUUAUGGGAAACUCAACCUAAGAUGCAAUCCAAAGAUCCCUGAAUAGAAUACAUAUUCUCAAGUGCUAGGGACUGAAUGUUUGUGUCCUCUCAAAACUCUUUUGUCGAAACACUUUGUCCCCAGUUUGAUGGUAUUUGGUGGUGGUAAAUAGGAAAUUAGGCCUUAAGGGUGGAGUCCCCAUGAUUAUAAGUGCCCUUAUAAAAAGAGGAAGAGACAUGAGAUCUCUCUCCCUCUUUUUUUUUGUGCACAUGCCAAGGAAAGGUCAUGUGAGGACAUAACCACAUGGACCCUCACUAAGGGCAUCGUGGCACCCUGAUCUUGGACUUCUAGCCUCCAGAAACAUGAGAAAUAAACAUUUAUUGUUUAAGUCAUCUAGUCUAUUGUAAUCUGCUAUAGCAAACUGACUAAGAUACUAAGGGACUUAAAAGUAAUUUAAAAGCCAAUCAGUUUUGA